rnacentral:rRNA from 1 species
AUUGAACGCUGGCGGCAUGCUUUACACAUGCAAGUCGAACGGUAACAGGGAGCUUGCUCCGCUGACGAGUGGCGAACGGGUGAGUAAUGCGUCGGAACGUGCCGAGUAGUGGGGGAUAACGCAUCGAAAGGUGUGCUAAUACCGCAUACGAACUGAGGUUGAAAGUGGGGGACCUUCGGGCCUCACGCUAUUCGAGCGGCCGACGUCUGAUUAGCUAGUUGGUGAGGUAAAGGCUCACCAAGGCGACGAUCCGUAGCGGGUCUGAGAGGAUGAUCCGCCACACGGGGACUGGGACGCGGCGCAGACUCCUACGGGAGGCAGCAGUGGGGAGUUUUGGACAAUGGGCGCAAGCCUGAUCCAGCCAUGCCGCGUGUCUGAAGAAGGCCUUCGGGUUGUAAACUGCUUUUGUCAGGGAAGAAAUCUUCUGGGUUAAUACCUCGGGAGGAUGACGGUACCUGAAGAAUAAGCACCGGCUAACUACGUGCCAGCAGCCGCCGCAG